CUACGGGUGGCUGCAGUGGGGAAUAUUGGACAAUGGGGGAAACCCUGAUCCAGCAAUGCCGCGUGUGUGAAGAAGGCCUGCGGGUUGUAAAGCACUUUCGGUUGGGAGGACUGCUUCUAGCACUAAUAUUGUUGGAAGUUGACGUUACCUUCAGAAGAAGCACCGGCUAACUCCGUGCCAGCAGCCGCGGUAAUACGGAAGGUGCAAGCGUUAAUCGGAAUUACUGGGCGUAAAGCGCGCGUAGGCGGCUAGAUCAGUCGGGUGUGAAAGCCCCGGGCUUAACCUGGGAACUGCAUCCGAUACUGUCUAGCUGGAGUACAGGAGAGGAGGGUGGAAUUCCACAUGUAGCGGUGAAAUGCGUAGAUAUGUGGAGGAACACCAAUGGCGAAGGCAGCUCUCUGGCCUGAUACUGACGCUGAGGUGCGAAAGCGUGGGGAGCAAACAGGAUUAGAUACCCGGGUAGUC
rnacentral:rRNA from 1 species